GAUGAAGAACGCAGCGAAAUGCGAUAAGUAAUGUGAAUUGCAGAAUUCAGUGAAUCAUCGAAUCUUUGAACGCACAUUGCGCCCGCCAGUAUUCUGGCGGGCAUGUCUGUUCGAGCGUCAUUUCAACCAUCAAGCUCUGCUUGCGUUGGGGAUCCGCGGCUGCCCGCGGUCCCUCAAAACCAGUGGCGGGCUCGCUAGUCACACCGAGCGUAGUAACUUUACAUCGCUAUGGUCGUGCGGCGGGUGCUUGCCGUAAAACCCCCCAAUUUUUAAGGUUGACCUCGGAUCAGGUAGGAAUACCCGCUGAACUUAAGCAUAUCAAUAAGCGGAGGA
rnacentral:misc_RNA from 1 species